UGCACUGGUCGUGCUUACGCUCAGAAAAUCCUGGACAGAAAAUGGGAGCCACGACAUUUCUAAAUGUGAAGCGUUAGCAGGGAUUUCUGCCAGCCUACUCGUGUGGCUCUCAAACUGCUCUGCCUUACGUCAGCCUACAUAGUUAUGAAGACAGAGCGUAGUACCAGAAAGCCCCUUUAAAAGAUCGUGUGGUGUAACGGGACUAUAUGUACAGCACACGCGUUCACACACAGUAAUUCAAUUACAUGUUAUAGAGGGCUCAAGUUCUUUUCCUGUUGGGGACCAGGCUCAUUCCUAAAGAGCUAAUUACAAUGGAAGGAUGCAAGCAGCUGAGUUCCUGAAUUCAAUUACUGCAUCACAUUGAAUAAACAGGAUUUUUCCAUACAUCUUUCCUUAAAAACAGACUUUAGCAAAAGAGUAAGUUUAUAUGCGUUGGAAGAUUCCACAUGCACUUCUGCCAGUUCCCCGACUUCUUCAGAGCUCUUGCCAUUACACUCUGCAGCCUCUUCAGAAAAGGAAGCCAAUUUGUGUGCGAGUUUUAUAGCAGGUUUACUUUUUAUUAAGGAAAAAGUGUGAAGAGAUUUACAGAAUGCAUACAAGCUGAUCAUUUUUUAAAAUAAAAAAUGAAGUGCUUUUCA